GACGAACCGUGCGAACGUUAUUCGGAAUCACUGGGCUUAAAGCGCGUGUAGGCGGCCCGGCACGUCCGACGCUGAAAGCCCCCGGCUCAACCGGGGAAGGGGCGCGGAUACGACCGGGCUGGAGGGGGGUAGGGGGCGCCGGAACUGCCGGUGGAGCGGUGAAAUGCGUUGAGAUCGGCAGGAACGCCCGUGGCGAAAGCGGGCGCCUGGACCCCACCUGACGCUGAGACGCGAAAGCCAGGGGAGCGAACGGG
rnacentral:rRNA from 1 species